AGCGAACGCUGGCGGCAGGCCUAACACAUGCAAGUCGAACGAACCUUUCGGGGUUAGUGGCGGACGGGUGAGUAACACGUGGGAACGUGCCUUUAGGUUCGGAAUAACUCAGGGAAACUUGUGCUAAUACCGAAUGUGCCCUUCGGGGGAAAGAUUAAUCGCCUUUAGAGCGGCCCGCGUCUGAUUAGCUAGUUGGUUGAGGUAAUGGCUCACCAAGGCGACGAUCAGUAGCUGGUCUGAGAGGAUGAUCAGCCACAUUGGGACUGAGACACGGCCCAAACUCCUACGGGAGGCAGCAGUGGGGAAUAUUGCGCAAUGGGCGAAAGCCUGACGCAGCCAUGCCGCGUGAAUGAUGAAGGUCUUAGGAUUGUAAAAUUCUUUCACCGGGGACGAUAAUGACGGUACCCGGAGAAGAAGCCCCGGCUAACUUCGUG
rnacentral:rRNA from 1 species